rnacentral:rRNA from 1 species
CACGUAGGAGACGAGCGUUAUCCGGAUUUACUGGGUGUAAAGCGCGUGCAGGCGGUAUGGUAAGUUGGAUGUAAAAGCUCCUGGCUUAACUGGGAGAGGUCGUUCAAAACUACCAAACUAGAGGACAGCAGAGGGGAGUGGAAUUCCGAGUGUAGCGGUAAAAUGCAUAGAUAUUCGGAAGAACACCAGUGGCGAAAGCGGCUCUCUGGGCUGAACCUGACGCUCAGACGCGAAAGCUAGGGUAGCAAACGGG